rnacentral:snoRNA from 13 species
UACACUUGUUUAUAUUUUUGUUUAACUUGUGGACAAAUAUUUAUAGACAGGUGCAAAAAAUAAAUCCUCUUUUGCAACCCAGAACUCAUUGUUCGGUAUGAGUUUUAAUACAUAUAAGAAGGGAUAUU